rnacentral:lncRNA from 1 species
GGGUGGGUGACCCCUAGCGACUCUUCCUAUAUUUCAUUUGAUUUUUCAUAUUGUCACAAACAUGAAUAUAUAUGGUUAAGGGGUGUGGAUCUCGACCGUUUCCAAGUUCUCAAACAGGAGGGGUGGGGUAACUCCAGGGACUCCCCCUAUAUUUCAUUUUUUAUUUAUCAUAUUGUCCUAUACUGGAAUAUAUGCAGGGGCAGAUUCAGACGGGGAGGGUUGCGGGCUUGCACCCCCCUUAAAUUUGCAAAGUAUGGGUUGUUCUCAGCUUAAUAAAGAAUAUUCCGAUAAUUUUACCUCAAUUUUUUUUUAGCCUCGCUCUGCUCGGCGAAAAUUUAAGUUUGCGCCCCUCCUAACCUAAAAUCCUGGAUCUGUCCCUCAUAUGGUUUAGGGGUGGGGAGCUCGACCGUUUCCAAGUUAUCAAACAGGAGGGGGUAAAGUGGCCCAAAGAAUGCCACCUAUAUAUCAUAUGAUUUACUUACAUUAAGGUAUAUAUAAUAUAGUUGCAUUAUUUGUGAAAAUAAAGAAUGAAACUUUAAGCUACUUUAAUUGACCCUUCAAAAUUGAGAAAAAUCAAAUAACCCCUCGAAAUUGCAGUAAU